ACUCCUACGGGAGGCAGCAGUGGGGAAUAUUGCACAAUGGGCGCAAGCCUGAUGCAGCCAUGCCGCGUGUGUGAAGAAGGCCUUCGGGUUGUAAAGCACUUUUCAGUUGUGAGGAAGGUGGUGUCGUUAAUAGCGGCAUCAUUUGACGUUAGCAACAGAAGAAGCACCGGCUAACUCCGUGCCAGCAGCCGCGGUAAUACGGGAGGGUGCGAGCGUUAAUCGGAAUUACUGGGCGUAAAGCGCAUGCAGGCGGCCUGUUAAGUCAGAUGUGAAAGCCCGGGGCUUAACCUCGGAAUUGCAUUUGAAACUGGCAGGCUAGAGUCUUGUAGAGGGGGGUAG
rnacentral:rRNA from 1 species